GUCAUUGAAGUUUGCUUUGACUGUGGCUGAUGAUUGAAAUUGCUGCUAGUUAUGAGGUGCUAUCAUAUAAUAUUGAUGAGUUGCUUUUUAACUUAGAUGCAUAUGUAAAUGGGUGUAAUGAAGAGUUGCAGGGACUUAUAUAAACUGUAGCGUGCUUUGUCUACGUUCUAUUCUGUGAUUAUUUUGUCUUUAUUGUUUGCGAUGACCAACUUAAUUAAUUAUCAUGGACAUUUCUUGCGCCGCUGCUUUUAAUCUUGUCCUAAGAGCUAAGACAAUGGAAUGCAUAAAAUAAUAAAGAUUAUGAAAAAGAAUUUGGGAGAAGUUUCGCAGUCUGGAGUAGCCAGUCUUGUUGGCUUAAUGAGCUACACCUGCACUCUGUGUUCUGGUUUCAUAGUGGCUUUUACCAUGUCAUUUGCUUAUAUGGUAGCUUCAGGUUGUUGGCAUCUUAUAUCUCAUUUUAUUGUUAUCCUCAUUAGUUAAUUUUUAUGAACAGAUUUCUGAGUGUGAGAGAUAAAUAAAGCACAUAAUAUUGUUUAUUUUUGGUUCAUGACAGCAGUUUCCCUUUCUCUUAGCAUUUAGAUAACAUGAUACUGGCUACUUGGUCUCAUGGGUUUCAAAUUGUAAUGUCCUUUCCAACAAUUCCUACACUCUUGCCAUAUGUUUCUGUUGACUUGGUUUAUCCUCUGUCUCUUCUGCCCCUCCCUCGUGGCCCCUGUGGCUGUUUUCUUGUUUUCAUUUGCUUUGGUGAGCUUUUUUUUUUUUUCAAUUU
rnacentral:misc_RNA from 1 species